GUGCCACUAUCCUCCUAUAGAGGGUUAGAGGGUUACCCUCUGUUAGGCCGCUGCCUAUCCAUUUUGUUAUUAUUAGCGCUAACCUACUUCUUUGUUUUUUCUAAAUAUUAGACCAUGCCAAAAUAGGGUAUAGUGGUUAUGGUGUUUUAAGUGCACCUUUUAUUGCUCCAUAAGAAAACUGUUCUAUAUUGUCUGAUAACAAGAUCAGGUUUAUUUACUGAACUGAGAAUUCAAAGUGAAUUCAAAGUGAAUUUCAAAUUGGAAAAUUGCAUUAAGCUAGCUAUGCUUUCACUUACCUGGCCUUAAAUUUGAAAUUCAUUUUAAAACCACUUAGAGUCCUCACUGUAGUAAAUAAACCUGCCAGUCUAG